rnacentral:rRNA from 1 species
AAUAUUGGACAAUGAACGAAAGUUUGAUCCAGCAAUACUAUCUGAGUGAAGACGGCUUUAUUAGUUGUAAAAUUCUUUCAUUAAGAAUGAUAAUGACAUUACUUAAAGAAGUUUAGUCCUGGCUAAUACUCGUGCCAGCAGCCGCGGUAAAACGGGAAGGGCAAGCGUUAUUCAUCAUGACUGGGCGUAAAGGGUCCGUAGACUGUAAAGUAAGUUGUUUGUUAAAUUUUAAAGCCCAACUUUAAAUUAACCUGUAAUACUGCUUUACUUGAGUUUUAUACAGAAGAGUAGAAUUUUAUACGAAAGGGUAAAAUCUAAAAAUAUAUAAAGGAAUACCAGUUGCGAAGGCGACUCUUUAGUAAAAACUGACGUUGAGGGACGAAAGUGUGGGGAGCAAACAGGAUUAGAUACCCUGGUAGUCCACACUGUA